UACGUAGGGCGCAAGCGUUGUCCGGAAUUAUUGGGCGUAAAAGAGCUCGUAGGCGGCUUGUCACGUCGAUUGUGAAAGCCCGAGGCUUAACCUCGGGUCUGCAGUCGAUACGGGCUAGCUAGAGUGUGGUAGGGGAGAUCGGAAUUCCUGGUGUAGCGGUGAAAUGCGCAGAUAUCAGGAGGAACACCGGUGGCGAAGGCGGAUCUCUGGGCCGAUACUGACGCUGAGGAGCGAAAGCGUGGGGGAGCGAACAGG
rnacentral:rRNA from 1 species